UACGGAAGGCAGCAGUAGGGAAUCUUCCGCAAUGGACGAAAGUCUGACGGAGCAACGCCGCGUGAACGAUGAAGGCUUUCGGGUCGUAAAGUUCUGUUGUUAGGGAAGAACAAGUACCGGAGUAACUGCCGGUACCUUGACGGUACCUAACCAGAAAGCCACGGCUAACUACGUGCCAGCAGCCGCGGUAAUACGUAGGUGGCAAGCGUUGUCCGGAAUUAUUGGGCGUAAAGCGCGCGCAGGCGGUCCUUUAAGUCUGAUGUGAAAGCCCACGGCUCAACCGUGGAGGGUCAUUGGAAACUGGGGACUUGAGUGCAGAAGAGGAGAGUGGAAUUCCACGUGUAGCGGUGAAAUGCGUAGAGAUGUGGAGGAACACCAGUGGCGAAGGCGACUCUCUGGUCUGUAACUGACGCUGAGGCGCGAAAGCGUGGGGAGCGAACAGGGAUUAGAUACCCGU
rnacentral:rRNA from 1 species